rnacentral:rRNA from 1 species
GACGAACGCUGGCGGCGUGCUUAACACAUGCCAGUCGAGCGGAAAGGCCCUGCUUUUGUGGGGUGCUCGAGUGGCGAACGGGUGAGUAACACGUGAGUAACCUGCCCUUGACUUUGGGAUAACUUCGGGAAACUGGGGCUAAUACCGGAUAGGAGCUCCUGCUGCAUGGUGGGGGUUGGAAAGUUUCGGCGGUUGGGGAUGGAUUCGCGGCUUAUCAGCUUGUUGGUGGGGUAGUGGCUUACCAAGGCUUUGACGGGUAGCCGGCCUGAGAGGGUGACCGGCCACAUUGGGACUGAGAUACGGCCCAGACUCCUACGGGAGGCAGCAGUGGGGAAUAUUGCACAAUGGGCGGAAGCCUGAUGCAGCAACGCCGCGUGCGGGAUGACGGCCUUCGGGUUGUAAACCGCUUUCGCCUGUGACGAAGCGUGAGUGACGGUAAUGGGUAAAGAAGCACCGGCUAACUACGUG